AGGUCCAGAAUGAAUCAGCUGGGAGGAAGAAUAGAACAGUAGUGAAUGGGAGUAGAAGGAGGAAGAUGACCUAAGGGACCCGUAUGUGAGGCUGUAAUGGGGAUGAGAAACAUGGAAUUAACUGUUCUCCGGAUGUGAAAUGAGACUUCCAGUUCUUCGAGCAUUUUAACUGUCUCUGCACAGCUUCCUGGGAGAUUUCAUUCCUCCCAUCGUGGAAACUGUGUGGGCAGGAAGUGAGGAGGCAACAAGGGCUGUGGGUUAAUGCUUGGGAUGAAAGUCUUUAGCCAGCACCUACCUUUGGCUGAAUCUAGCAGAAAUCCUGCUGACAGAGCAUCCUGGGAAACGCAUCCUGCAGAUCUUGGCCCCAUGUGUUACAAUGGAGAACAGAGCAAGGUUGAGGCAUGCAUCAAAAGGCAAACCCGCCCUGGACCAGCACACAGCACUUACCACGUUUGUGUGCAUGACCCAGAUAGUAGUUACUUCUUUGAACUGGGUUCCAAAAUGGGAAAACUCACAGGGCAGAGCUGAACAGAACCUAUUGGAGCCACAGCUGACUUCCUGACCUCAGAAGUUUAAAAACUCCACUUAACAAAGGAGAGGGAAUGAUAGAAUUAGAAAAUGAACAUUUUGUAACCCUAAGUCAAAUAAUUCAGAAGAGGAUCACCACUAGAGGCUAAAAUCAUUAGAGGAAAUUUUGAGGAACCAGAUACUCACUGAAACCAAAUCCCCAGAAAAUCACUUGCUAAUGUCAAUGAACAGGAAAAAGAACACCUUUACAAUGGAGAGACCCCGGAGUUCCCAUCUUGACCAUGUGAUGAAAAGUAGUCUCACUACGAGUGGACCACAUGACAUCGUAUCCCUCCUGAUGAAGCA
rnacentral:lncRNA from 1 species